GGUCAGUCAACUGACCAGUUGUUUUAUCAGCAUCUGUCUGUAAAUUGUCAAUACCCCCAAAUAUUUCUUGAACUGCGUUGAAUGCUGAUAUGAUUUAAUUUCA
ensembl:ncRNA F27D9.11 ncRNA